UGGGCUGCCUGCAAUCCCGAGUGGUAGGAGAGGAUAUGGGAUGCACCUCGUUGCUGGAUGCACCCGAAAGGCAGGGUGCACGUAGAGCGCCCUGCUCAGGGAGCUCCUGGAGUCGGACGCAUGCGUUUGCAUGACGCCCCUGUAACCUUGCAGUGGGAGAUGUUAAUUGCACGUUUUGGGCAGCUCUUUCCAUGCCCGAGGACCCCCUUUUGUGUUGCCCCCCGCAGCUCGGGGUGGGUAGGCUCCAGGUGAGCCACCAACCGCUUCCGUGCUAGCUCUCAGCCUGCGUUUCCCCCGGCUCGAGAAGGUCGCAGUGCCAGGCAGUCCCUGCUCUGUGUACCCAUCUCCUGCCUGCUCCCUCAGCUCGGUGCUUGUGUUUGUCGCCUGCUGGGAAGUCUGGGGUGUCCCGAAUCACAGGACUUCCUUUCCUGAGUGUUCUUGUUCUUGUUCCCCUCUCGCAUAAUGCCACCCUCUAGGUCCCUCCGUGGCCUCCCACCACAGGGUGCGGGAUUCCUGCUUUCUCUUUGCCGCGUACUUUUCCUUCACAUUUCAGCCUUUCGUUUCAGUCUGUCUCUCACCCUUCACGACUAAAACGUGUAGAUUGAAGGAAGGAGACACAGGCUAGGGGACCCCGCAGCUGGCCGUCCGCGGGAACCCUCUGCAGGCUCCGGUGUCUUUCUCACAUCAGUGUGGAGUUUGCUUGGGUUCUGUCCUUUCUGCGACUUUGCGAAGGUUGAUUUGAAGAAGAUCGAACAAGCAGUGGAGCCGAGGAGGGGGGAGAAGACAGAUAAAAUUAAGGUGAAGAGAUUUAUUGGGUCUACUUGGGUCAAAGGCCCAAUUCCAUUGUACAUGAUGGAACCCCUGGCAUUCCAGCCCUGGCCCUUGGCAUUGUUUACAGAUGUUCAGACUUGAUCAUCAAGUCUUUUCAGCCAGGAGCUAUGUGUUUGCAGGGUCCUUCUUGCCUGGGAGGUGCAGGGACACAGAGUACCUUUAGUAAUGGGUAUUCCAUGCCUGUAUGUGUGAAUGUCCCGAGAACAGCGGUGGUGUGGCCUAAAGAAUUGGUGUGGCUUCGCAUUGGAAUACCCAUACGAAAGUGUAAGAAGCAUCACUGGGCACAGCCGAGAUCUGGGAUGAAAACAGAAGGUGCUCUAAGACACACAGAGAACAUGGUCAUGUGAAGACAGAGGCAGAAAUUAGAGUGGCCCCAAGCCAAGAGCUGCCAGGAGUUGCCAGACGCUGGGGAAGGCGGGAAGGCUCCUCCUUUCUAGCCGUCCCAGGGAACACAGCUCUGCCGCUAUCUUAUUUCCUCCAGACCUGUAGCAGCAUUUCCAGGAAAGGUCACAGAGUCCAAGGUGUUGGAGUGUGAAAAUACGGGCUGAGCUCAGCUCCCCGGUGUGAAAUGCAAGCCUCGGGAAAUUCAAACGUAUGCGUCAAUUGCAGCCCAGGUUUCUUUUUAUUAAUGGUCACUAAUGGUCUGCAAUCAAGACACACCUGUGAGAGGCAAAAUACCAAUCGGCUUGUUUGUGUGACGUGAGUAGACUUUAUCAGCCUGCUGAUUAUUCUUCCUCUCUCCAGGUAUCAGGCAAGGGACAUUUGUGCAGAGAGAGGGGAAGUGGCCACUUAUCCCGUCUAAGGAGGCAGUGUGGUGUUGUCGCCAGGUUAGAGGCACACAGUCGAGGCUAUAAAAACCUGACGCUGUCACUAGCCAGCUGUAUUUGUCCAUUUUCUGUUCUUUGAAUGGAAUACCUACAGCUGGGUAACUUGAACAGAAAUGAAGCUUGUCAGCCCUCUGUCUAGGAGGCCACCAGGGCAAGCAGCAUGGUACUCGGGUGGGCGCCAAGGCCACAUCAGCCCGGGACAGACAAUGCUGUGAUGGUAGACACCUGUGGGAAGAAUGUAAAUCUCACCGGUUGAUUCUAAGGACAGUGCCAAUGACCCAAGGCCCUACCACUAGACCCGCUGCUUCAAAUGCUUUCUCGCUCUCUCUCCACUGGGAUCAAAGACAUCUACUUCUGUGCUUGGCCUUCGUCAUCUUUUAACACUGGUGACCAUCGAACCUUGGAAUAGUGAACCACACCAAGCCCUUACCAGAACCUCAGGUCAACCCCGUUUCUUCCCUGGGAGGCUCUACUAAUCAUACUGUCUUUCUGGGAUGAUCAUGAAGAUACCUGUCCUCCUUUUCAAGGAAACCUGGUGUUGGCCUGGACGGUGGACUCCUGGGAGUCCUGCUGCAGUCUAGUCUUUCUUCCAGGGCCUUGACCUUCUGCCCUUGUCCUGGUUGGUGUUUUGUCAACUUGACACAAGCUAGAGUCAUUUUGGAAGAGACAACAACAGCUGGGGAAAUGCUCCCAUCAGGCUGGCCUG